AUACGUAUGUCUCAAGCGUUACCCGGAAUCACAGGGUGUAAAGGGUUCGUAGGCGGUUUGAUAAGUUGGAUAUGAAAGACCGGAGCUCAACUCCGUGUUGGUGUUCAAAACUGUCAAACUAGAAUCAGGGAGAGGUAAGCGGAAUUCUAAGUGUAGGGGUGCAAUCCGUAGAUACUUAGAGGAACACCGAAAGCGAAGGCAGCUUACUGGAACUGUGUUGACGCUCAUGAACGAAAGCGUGGGGAGCGAAAAGGAUUAGAAACCCUAGUAGUCC
rnacentral:rRNA from 1 species